UCCGUUGUGGUGUAACGGUAACAUACGCGCCUCUCACGUGGAGUGCAAACGCGCGUGCCCGGGGUUCGAUUCCCCGCAGCGGAA